GUGAGUUCCGGGCGCCCUCUAGGGGCCACGCGGGGAGCGGCAUCUCGAGCCGAGGGCCUGGGAGCUUUGGGUCCGAGGGACCCUUGAUGGAAAAUAAUAGACCACGUGGAAAAUAAUAACGACAAUCAUAUUAAUACGCAACAUUGUUGAACGCUUGCUGUGAUCCAGGCACUUCACUAGGUUUUAGAAGUAUUAAUACAUUCCUAACAGCCACCCUAUGAGGCGGCUGCUGAGGUGGCUUUGGACAUCAGCCUGGCUUUUGAGCUGGACUUCUCUGCUUUCUAACAUCGGGCAAGUUGAUUAAAUUUUCAGAGCCUGCAGUUUCCUUGCCCAAAUUAUAGAGCCAACCCUUUCCCGGAUUACCGAAGGGACUAAGGAGAUAAGGCAGGUAAAAGCGCUUGGCUCUUCGCGGGUGCUCCGGAAACGGCGCAGGGCGCCCCAGGGUGACUUGACUUAGUUUUUCUACGCCCCAGGCGGGAUGAGGCGUUAGGAGGCGGAUCCUACAAACUGCAGGAGACCCACCCUCCCGCCUCUUUCCCAGACGCUUGAUUUCCCGGGAAAGUCGCGUGGCUGCUCUGCUCGCUGAGCGCUUUCCCUCUGCAACGCCUCAAAGGGAGGCUAUUGCGUAUUUAGGUGCCGCGCUUCCCGAGGAGCAGAUUCACAGACUCCCACGGGGGCAGGCGGAGAGAGAGCGGGUCCAGACCUGGGGAGUGGGUGGAGACCCGCGACCCGAGGGAGGGC
rnacentral:lncRNA from 1 species